rnacentral:rRNA from 1 species
GACGAACGCUGGCGGCGUGCUUAACACAUGCAAGUCGAGCGGAGCGGCGAACGGGUGAGUAACGCGUGAGUAACUGCCCCCCUCUCUGGGAUAACAGUUGGAAAAGGCUGCUAAUACCGGAUAGUGGGGGAUGACUCGCGUCCUAUCAGCUUGUUGGUGGGGUAGUGGCCUACCAAGGCGACGACGGGUAGCCGGCAUGAGUGGGCGACCGGCAACAAUGGGCUGGGAGGCUGCCCGAACGCCUACGGAGGACAGCAGUGGGGAAUAGUGCAAAAUGGGGCAAACCCUGAUGCAGCAACGCGCGUGCGGAAGGACGGCCUUCGGGUUGUAAACCGCUUUCAGCCAUGACGCGGUAGUGGCAGAAGAAGCACCGGCUAACUACGUGCCAGCAGCCGCGGUAAUUC